CCGAGUUUACAACUCCCAAACCCAAUGUGAACCAUACCAAACUGUUGCCUCGGCGGGGUCACGCCCCGGGUGCGUCGCAGCCCCGGAACCAGGCGCCCGCCGGAGGGACCAACCAAACUCUUUCUGUAGUCCCCUCGCGGACGUUAUUUCUUACAGCUCUGAGCAAAAAUUCAAAAUGAAUCAAAACUUUCAACAACGGAUCUCUUGGUUCUGGCAUCGAUGAAGAACGCAGCGAAAUGCGAUAAGUAAUGUGAAUUGCAGAAUUCAGUGAAUCAUCGAAUCUUUGAACGCACAUUGCGCCCGCCAGUAUUCUGGCGGGCAUGCCUGUCCGAGCGUCAUUUCAACCCUCGAACCCCUCCGGGGGGUCGGCGUUGGGGAUCGGGAACCCCUAAGACGGGAUCCCGGCCCCGAAAUACAGUGGCGGUCUCGCCGCAGCCUCUCCUGCGCAGUAGUUUGCACAACUCGCACCGGGAGCGCGGCGCGUCCACGUCCGUAAAACACCCAACUUCUGAAAUGUUGACCUCGGAUCAGGUAGGAAUACCCGCUGAACUUAAGCAUAUCAAAA
rnacentral:rRNA from 1 species